rnacentral:rRNA from 1 species
GAUGAACGCUGGCGGCGUGCUUAACACAUGCAAGUCGAACGAUGAAGCCCAGCUUGCUGGGUGGAUUAGUGGCGAACGGGUGAGUAACACGUGAGUAACCUGCCCUUAACUCUGGGAUAAGCCUGGGAAACUGGGUCUAAUACCGGAUAGGAGCGUCCACCGCAUGGUGGGUGUUGGAAAGAUUUAUCGGUUUUGGAUGGACUCGCGGCCUAUCAGCUUGUUGGUGAGGUAAUGGCUCACCAAGGCGACGACGGGUAGCCGGCCUGAGAGGGUGACCGGCCACACUGGGACUGAGACACGGCCCAGACUCCUACGGGAGGCAGCAGUGGGGAAUAUUGCACAAUGGGCGGAAGCCUGAUGCAGCGACGCCGCGUGAGGGAUGACGGCCUUCGGGUUGUAAACCUCUUUCAGUAGGGAAGAAGCGAGAGUGACGGUACCUGCAGAAGAAGCACCGGCUAACUACGUG